rnacentral:tRNA from 1 species
GGGGCCCUAUUUUAAAUAAAAAUAUAUACUUUGCAAGUAUGAGAUUCGGGGCUCUAA